rnacentral:ncRNA from 1 species
AGGAUUCAGGACGAAGGCAGGAGUUUCGAAAGUGAUUAGACACCGCUGUAGUUCCUGCAGUAAACUAUGCCGACAGCUUGUGUGUGAGAAUACGGGGCGGGAGAAAUUUUAGUUUCGGGCUCUGGGGAUAGUACGCUUGCAGGGUGAAACUUAAAGGGAAAUUGACGGAAGGACACUACCAGGAGUGGAUUGUGCUGCUUAAUUUAACUCAACGCGGGAAAACUUACCAGGGUCAAGUCAUUCGUUGAUCGAAUACGUGAGAAUGGCAGGAGUGGUGCAUGGCCGUUGGAAAUUGAUGGGGCGACCUUUAGCUUAAAUGCUUAAACCAGUGAGACCUCCUUGACAGGUGUUCUGUAACACAGGAGGGUGGAGGCUAUAACAGGUCCGUGAUGCCCUUAGAUAUCCUGGGCAGCAAGCGCAAUACAAUAUCUCUUCAGUAGACAAAGUGAUUUGAGAUGAGUAGGAUCUACGUUUGUAAAUACGUAGUGAAUAAGGAAUUCCUAGUAACGGUGCCUCAUCAAGGCAUGGUGAAUGUGUCCCUGUUCUUUGUACACACCGCCCGUCACUAUUUCAGAUGGUCAUAGGGAUGAAGAGCUUCGGCUCUGAAUAUCUAUGGCUAGAUAAAGUACAAGUCGUAACAAGGUUUCAGUUGGAGAACCAGCUGAAGGAUCAUUU